UACAGAGGGUGCAAGCGUUAAUCGGAAUUACUGGGCGUAAAGCGUGCGUAGUCGGUUCUCUAAGUCGGGGGUGAAAUCCCCGGGCUCAACCUGGGAAGUGCAUUCGAUACUGGAUAGCUAGAGUUCGGCAGAGGGAAGCGGAAUUUCGGGUGUAGCGGUGAAAUGCGUAGAUAUCCGAAGGAACAUCAGUGGCGAAGGCGGCUUCCUGGGCCAGAACUGACGAUCAGGCACGAAAGCGUGGGGAGCAAACAGG
rnacentral:rRNA from 1 species